AAUGGGCGCAAGCCUGAUCCAGCCAUGCCGCGUGAGUGAAGAAGGCCUUCGGGUUGUAAAGCUCUUUCGGUGAAGACGAAACGGUUAGCGUUAAUAACGCUGACUAAUGACGGUACUCACAGAAGAAGCACCGGCUAACUACGUGCCAGCAGCCGCGGUAAUACGUAGGGUGCAGGCGUUAAUCGGAAUUACUGGGCGUAAAGCGUGCGCAGGCGGUUUGCUAAGACAGGUGUGAAAUCCCCGGGCUUAACCUGGGAAUUGCGCUUGUAACUGGCAAGCUAGAGUGUGGCAGAGGGGGGUGGAAUUCCACGUGUAGCAGUGAAAUGCGUAGAUAUGUGGAGGAACACCGAUGGCGAAGGCAGCCCCCUGGGUUAACACUGACGCUCAGGCACGAAAGCGUGGGGAGCAAA
rnacentral:rRNA from 1 species